AGACGUAGGGGGCUAGCGUUGUCCGGAAUUACUGGGCGUAAAGGGCGUGUAGGCGGCCAGGAAAGUCAGUGGUGAAACACCUGGGCUCAACCCAGGUAUUGCCGUUGAAACUGUCUGGCUUGAGGAUAGAAGAGGAGUGUGGAAUUCCCGGUGUAGCGGUGAAAUGCGUAGAGAUCGGGAGGAACACCAGUGGCGAAGGUGGCACUCUGGUCUAUACCUGACGCUGAGGCGCGAAAGCUAGGGAAGCAAACAGGAUUAGAUACCCUGGUAGUCCUAGCCGUAAACGAUGGGCACUAGGUGUAGGGGGUUUAGAUACCUUCUGUGCCGUAGCUAACGCAUUAAGUGCCCCGCCUGGGGACUACGGUCGCAAGGCUAAA
rnacentral:rRNA from 1 species